UGCGGGCGCCAUUUUUUUCAUUUGCGUUUUGUGUAACUUGUGUGCUGUGUUGCUGCCAAAUCAAUUCAUUGAUAAGGGUACUUUCAAACACAGACACCAUCGAAAAUUCCUUAGUGUGAGAAGCGCACGCGAGACGGACUGUACGACGAAUGGAAAACAAGUGUUGCCCCAUCAAUCUGAAGUGCUCAAAAUCGCGUAUGUAGUAGUGCACAAAAUACCGAGAGCGAAAUGGCGAAUUGAUUUUGGGAAAACAAAUCAGUAGUUUCUUAUAUCCUAAUAACAAUAUACUGAUUUAAUAGCAAA